GAUCACAAAAGAAAGGCAUGUUGAUUUCUCAUUCUCUGGUGAAGUGUUUUUGAUGGUGGGAUAUUUUUUUUUAAAAGAUAAUAUGUCAUUUAUUAAGCUUCGCAUAGAAAAAUGACUAUUUUUUUUUUUCAUGUUUAUUUGGAAAAGGCUGUUUUCUUUCUCAAGAGGUUUUUACCAAACUAAAAUCAGAAUCCAGCCACGGAGGAAAACAAAAGCAUUUGACAUUCAUCACUACUUGUUGAGUACCCACAGGACCCAGGGCAUGGCUGGCACUGCUGCAGCUAAAGAACACGGCAAAGCUGCUACCCAGCCGUCAAAAUGAAGAGAACGGGGUUUAUUCAUCAGCUGACUUCAAGAAAAACAGUACAGUGAUGUCCUGUUCAACUGGAAUUACUGCCCUACGAAAGACUGAGACUGAAACCAAAGGAGAGGGUAGCAACAGGAAAACGAAGACAAAGAAAUUCUGAAUGGCCAUUCCAGAUUAAAGAGCUAUGACAACAAAAUGUAAUGCAUCAUCCUGGACUGGAUUCUUGUCAAGACAGAAGUAUUGCUAGAAACAAUAUUGGGACGAUUAGUGAAAUGUCUUUUAGUAACAGUACUGUAUCAGUGUUAAAUUUUCUGAAUUUCAUAGUUAUAUAUAGUUAUGUAAAAGAUUUCCCUAGUUUCUAAGAAAGAGAAACAUUUUAUGGUUAAAGUUCAUGAUAUUUGCAACUUAUUCUCAAAAGGUUGAGAAAAAAUUAUAUAUGAAAUCCAUGUGUGUUUGUAUGUAUCAAUUCACGGAAUUUGAUUUAACUACCUAAUGGCAUCACCAUCGACAUCUCAGGCUCCUUCCAUUUCUUUGCAUUGCCCCUGCUGGACUGGCUUCGCCUUUGUGCCUUUUUUUUUUUUUUAAGAUUUUAUUUAUGUAUUUGGCAGAUAGAUCACAAGUAGGCAGAGAGGCAGGCAGAGAGAGAGAGGAGGAAACAGACUCCCCGCUGAGCAGAGAGCCUGAUCCGGGGCUUGAUCCAAGGACGCUGGGAUCAGGACCUGAGCCAAAGGCAGAGACUUUAACCCACUGAGCCACCCAGGUGCCCCCACCUUCAUGCUUUUAUUGCAACUAUUCCAGGUGGUGUAUCCAGAUAAGACAAUGUGCCUAAAAGGAAGAAAUAGCAUCUAGUCCCAUAGUGAGUCUCUCCUUUCUCAUGGGAGAGAUGUAACUUUCUCGGCAGUUACUUACAGAUGUCCUCCCAUAUUUCACUAGACAGAAUUGGCUUGUGUAUGGGUCUUGGAUCAUCAUCCAAAGGCAGACGGAAUUAACUAGUUGGUUGGACUAACUGGUCUAGCCUACUCAUCUGCGGUUAAACAGAUUUCAGGAAGUCGACCAUAAUAUAUUUGUAGUCAGGGUUCUCUAGAGAAACAGAAAAAUGUAUAUAGAGAGAUAUGUAAGAGGAGAUGUAUUAUAGGAAUUGGCGCAUAUAGUGAUGGAGGUCAAAAAGUCUCAGUCAGCCGUCUAGAGGCUGGAGACCCAGUAACGCCAAUGGUAUAAUUCAGUCUAAGUCCAAAGGCCUGUGAACCAGGAGCUCCCCUGUCCAAGAGCAGGGGAUUUGCCCUUCCUCGGCCUUUUUGUGGAUUGGAUGCCUGUACAUAUGGGUGAAGGUAAUCUUUUUACUCAGUCUACUGUAGAAUCUCUUCCAGAAAAAAACCUCACAGACACAACCAGGAAUGGUGCCAGCUAUCUGGGUAUCCCCUGGCCCAGUCAAGCUGACACGUAAUACUAACCAUCACAGUAUUCUUUACCUCUAAGGGGAAUCUACUUUGGAAAGUAAUUUUUUUUCAGAUACCACAGGAGGGUUCAUAAAUAUUAAAGCCUCACAUGUAUUUCUCCUCCUUCUAAAUCAACAUUGGUUACUUCUACCUUCACCAAUGAAAUAGCUCCUUUGUUGACUGCUCUAAGAAAUAGUCUGAAAGGAAAUACCACACAGCCCUAAAAGGGGGAGUGGAUGUCUCUAGAGUUUUUUACUUUAAGUAUACGUUCAUUCAUUCAUUCACAUAUACAUAUGUGUGUGUGUAUGUGUAUAUAUAUAUAUAUAUAUAUAUAUAUAUGUGUGUGUGUGUGUGUGUGUGUGUAUGUAUAAAUAUAUAUAUAUUCAACAAGUAUUUAUUAAGCACCUACUAUAUUCCAGGAUCAGGAAUAAUAAUGAAAAGCUGUAGUCUCUGCUUAUAAAGAAUGUACACUGUGGUGGAAAAACAGACAUCCUAUCAAGUAUAAUAAAUGUCACUAAUGGUAAGAAUCAGAAGGAAAGACUAUUAAAGACAUCAUAAAGGAAAAUUACAACUAUCUCAGAUACUUGGGAUUCUCAUGACAUUAAU